rnacentral:rRNA from 1 species
UACGAAGGGGACUAGCGUUGUUCGGAUUUACUGGGCGUAAAGCGCGCGUAGGCGGAUCGCUAAGUCAGGGGUGAAAUCCCAGGGCUCAACCCUGGAACUGCCUUUGAUACUGACGAUCUGGAGAUCGGGAGAGGUUGGUGGAAUUCCGAGUGUAGAGGUGAAAUUCGUAGAUAUUCGGAGGAACACCAGAAGCGAAGGCGGCCAACUGGCCCGAUACUGACGCUGGAGGCGCGAAAGCGUGGGGAGCAAACAGG